rnacentral:rRNA from 1 species
CCUACGGGAGGCAGCAGUGAGGAAUAUUGGUCAAUGGCCGAGAGGCUGAACCAGCCAAGUCGCGUGAGGGAAGACGGCCCUACGGGUUGUAAACCUCUUUUGUCGGGGAGCAAAGCGUACCACGUGUGGUUCAUUGAGAGUACCCGAAGAAAAAGCAUCGGCUAACUCCGUACCAGCAGCCGCGGUAAUACGGAGGAUGCGAGCGUUAUCCGGAUUUAUUGGGUGUAAAGGGUGCGCAGGCGGAGGUUCCAGUCAGCGGUAAAAUUGCGGGGCUCAACCCCGUACUGCCGUUGAAACUGCAUCCCUUGAGUGCGCGAGAAGUAUGCGGAAUGCGUGGUGUAGCGGUGAAAUGCAUAGAUAUCACGCAGAACUCCGAUUGCGAAGGCAGCAUACCGGCGCGCAACUGACGCUCAUGCACGAAAGCGUGGGUAUCGAACAGGAUUAGAUACCCGUGUAGUC